rnacentral:rRNA from 17 species
GAGGAAGGUGGGGAUGACGUCAAGUCCUCAUGGCCUUUAUGUCUAGGGCUGCACACGUCCUACAAUGGUACGGACAAACGGACGCAAUACCGCGAGGUGGAGCAAAUCCUAGAAACCGUGCCUCAGUUCGGAUUGCAGGCUGCAACUCGCCUGCAUGAAGCCGGAAUCGCUAGUAAUCGUAGGUCAGCAUACUACGGUGAAUGUGUUCCUGAGCCUUGUACACACCGCCCGUCAAGCCACGAAAGUUGGGAGGGCCCGAAGUCACCAAGCUAACCCGCAAGGGAGGCAGGUGCCGAAGGUCAGCUCGACAAUUGGGACUAAGUCGUAACAAGGUAGCCGUAGGGGAACCUGCGGCUGGAUCACCUCCUU